CAGUGUACCAGUUAUACAAAAUGGUAUGAGUAAUGCUUCACUCGUUCAAUAUGGUGCUGCUGUUCGGUUUACAUGUGAGCAUACAUACUUUCUGUGGGGGAAUUCAUCAGCUACGUGCAACGGUGAUGGUACAUUGAGCUCAGUGCCGAUAUGUUAUAGGCUGACGGGCGAAAGAGGUUGCGGGACAACAAUGACCAUAACAAAAACCACUGACCGCCGAUUGAGUUACACUUCAGGGAAAGCACUGUGCAGCCGUCACAAUGGCACAAUUCUCUCUGAAGCAUCGUUCCAGGAUGGAUGCGCAAAUGGCUUGACAGACGCUGUCAGAGUGGCGUGGAGAGGAUUACCUGACAAGAAUAUCACAGCGUUGACUACAUUUGGUAUCAGAGUAGACCUGUCUCGCCAUUUCCUCGUAGUGUGCGAAUUUCCAUGCCUUCCUCGACGAAGUGAUCAAAUGGAGUCUAAACCAAUGGCUAGUGAUAUCUCUUGUCGAUAUGAUGAGCUGAUUGGCAACAGAAUUUGCAGAGCAUCUGGUAGCAUAACUAGAAUAUCAACUCCUGGCCUCAAAUUGAAUUACACUUCUGCUCAAGCACUGUGUAGCAGGCACAAUGGUACAAUCCUCUCUGAAGCGUCGUUCCACGCUUUGUGCUCGGUUGGUUUAACCAGCAUACACGCCAUUGCAUGGAGAGGAUUGCCAAAAGGAAAUGUAGCACGUAACUCCAACGGCCAAGAAAGUGGCCUAGCGCAGCUUUUGCG